UACGUAGGCAGCGAGCGUUGUUCGGAAUUACUGGGCGUAAAGAGUGUGUAGGCGGUGCUCUAAGUUCGGUGUGAAAUCUCCCGGCUUAACUGGGAGGGUGCGCCGGAAACUGGAGUGCUCGAGCGUGGGAGAGGAAAGCGGAAUUCCUGGUGUAGCGGUGAAAUGCGUAGAUAUCAGGAGGAACACCUGCGGUGUAGACGGCUUUCUGGACCAUUGCUGACGCUGAGACACAAAAGCGUGGGUAGCAAACAGG
rnacentral:rRNA from 1 species